rnacentral:rRNA from 1 species
CGCGUGGGUGGCCAAUUAAGUCGGAUGUGAAAUCCCUGAGCUUAACUUAGGAAUUGCAUUCGAUACUGGGAAGCUAGAGUAUGGGAGAGGAUGGUAGAAUUCCAGGUGUAGCGGUGAAAUGCGUAGAGAUCUGGAGGAAUACCGAUGGCGAAGGCAGCCAUCUGGCCUAAUACUGACGCUGAGGUACGAAAGCAUGGGGAGCAAACAGGAUUCGAUACCCUAGUA